GAACUUAAGCAUAUCAAUAAGCGGAGGAAAAGAAACUAACAAGGAUUCCCCUAGUAACGGCGAGUGAAGCGGGAAGAGCUCAAAUUUGAAAUCUGGUGGCCUCAGGCUAUCCGAGUUGUAAUCUAUAGAAACAUUUUCCGCGUUGGCCCAUGUACAAGUCUCUUGGAAUAGAGCGUCAUAGAGGGUGAGAAUCCCGUCCUUGACAUGGACUACCAGUGCCUUGUGAUAUGUUUUCAACGAGUCGAGUUGUUUGGGAAUGCAGCUCAAAAUGGGUGGUAAAUUCCAUCUAAAGCUAAAUAUUGGCGAGAGACCGAUAGCGAACAAGUACCGUGAGGGAAAGAUGAAAAGCACUUUGGAAAGAGAGUUAAACAGUAUGUGAAAUUGUUGAAAGGGAAACGAUUGAAGUCAGUCGUGUCUAUUGGACUCAGCCGGUUCUGCCGGUGCACUUCCUUUAGAUGGGGUCAACAUCAGUUUUGAUCGCUGGAAAAGGGCAGGAGGAAUGUAGCACUCUCGGGUGAACUUAUAGCCUUCUGUCGCAUACAGUGGUUGGGACUGAGGAACGCAGCUUGCCUUUAUGGCCGGGAUUUAUCCACGUACAAGCUUAGGAUGUUGACAUAAUGGCUUUAAACGACCCGUCUUGAAACACGGACCAAGGAGUCUAACAUAUCUGCGAGUAUUUGGGUGUUAAACCCAUCUGCGCAAUGAAAGUGAAUGUAGGAGGGAUCCGCAAGGUGCACCUUCGACCGAUCUGGAUCUUUAGUGAUGGAUUUGAGUAAGAGCAUAUAUGUUGGGACCCGAAA
rnacentral:rRNA from 1 species